rnacentral:rRNA from 1 species
UCCGUAGGUGAACCUGCGGAAGGAUCAUUAUCGAAAUAAAUCUGAACAGGCUGUUGCUGGUCGGAAGACAUGUGCACGCUUGUCCUCUUUAUUUUUCCAACUGUGCACAUAUUGCAGACCUUUUUGAGGGAAUGAUGGCCAAGGUCUAUGUUACAUUUAACAACUUGUUGUAGAAUGGGGGAUAUGAAACAAAUAUACAACUUUCAGCAACGGAUCUCUUGGCUCUCGCAUCGAUGAAGAACGCAGCGAAAUGCGAUAAGUAAUGUGAAUUGCAGAAUUCAGUGAAUCAUCGAAUCUUUGAACGCAUCUUGCGCUCCUUGGUAUUCCGAGGAGCAUGCCUGUUUGAGUGUCAUCAAGUUCUCAACCAUACCUCGGUGUGGCUUGGAUUUGGGGGUUUUUGCAGGCUUCAAAGAAAGUCGGCUCCCCUGAAAAGCAUUAGCGGUGUCCGAGUACCUUUGGUGUGAUAACUAUCUAUGCCUUGGUGUAUACGAUGCAUGCUGCUUCUGAACUUCAUUUUUAUUGACAAAUUUGACCUCAAAUCAGGUAGGGUUACCCGCUGAACUUAAGCAUAUCAAUAAGCGGAGGA